UUUAUGGAGAGUUUGAUCCUGGCUCAGGAUGAACGCUGGCGGCGUGCCUAAUACAUGCAAGUCGAGCGAACGGACGAGAAGCUUGCUUCUCUGAUGUUAGCGGCGGACGGGUGAGUAACACGUGGAUAACCUACCUAUAAGACUGGGAUAACUUCGGGAAACCGGAGCUAAUACCGGAUAAUAUUUUGAACCGCAUGGUUCAAAAGUGAAAGACGGUCUUGCUGUCACUUAUAGAUGGAUCCGCGCUGCAUUAGCUAGUUGG
rnacentral:rRNA from 1 species